UACGUAGGGGGCAAGCGUUGUCCGGAAUCAUUGGGCGUAAAGAGCGUGUAGGCGGUCCGGUCAGUCGGUUGUGAAAGUCAAGGGCUCAACCCUUGAAUGCCGGCCGAUACUGCCGGGCUAGAGUCCGGAAGAGGUGAGUGGAAUUCCUGGUGUAGCGGUGAAAUGCGCAGAUAUCAGGAGGAACACCGGUGGCGAAGGCGGGUCUCUGGGCAACAACUGACGCUGAGGAGCGAAAGCGUGGGGAGCGAACAGG
rnacentral:rRNA from 1 species